rnacentral:rRNA from 1 species
GGCCAAGUUUUUAAGGGCGCACGGUGGAUGCCUUGGCACCAGGAACCGAUGAAGGACGUGGGAGGCCACGAUAGUCCCCGGGGAGUCGUCAACCAGGCUUUGAUCCGGGGGUUUCCGAAUGGGGAAACCCGGCAGUCGUCAUGGGCUGUCACCCGCUGCUGAACACAUAGGCAGUGUGGAGGGAACGCGGGGAAGUGAAACAUCUCAGUACCCGCAGGAAGAGAAAACAACCGUGAUUCCGGGAGUAGUGGCGAGCGAAACUGGAUGAGGCUAAACCUUAAGCGUGUGAGACCCGGCAGGGGUUGCGCUUGGGGGGUUGUGGGAUCUCUCUUCCACGGUCUGCCGGCCGUGGGACGAGUCAGAAACCGUUGAUGUAGGCGAAGGACAUGCGAAAGGUCCGGCGUAGAGGGUAAGACCCCCGUAGUCGAAACGUCAGCGGCUCGUUUGAGAGACACCCAAGUAGCACGGGGCCCGAGAAAUCCCGUGUGAAUCUGGCGGGACCACCCGCUAAGCCUAAAUAUUCCCUGGUGACCGAUAGCGGAUAGUACCGUGAGGGAAUGGUGAAAAGUACCCCGGGAGGGGAGUGAAAUAGUACCUGAAACCGUGUGCCUACAAGCCGUGGGAGCGUCGGGGUCCUUUGGAUCCUCGUGACUGCGUGCCUUUUGAAGAAUGAGCCUGCGAGUUUGCGGUGUGUUGCGAGGUUAACCCGAGUGGGGUAGCCGUAGCGAAAGCGAGUCCGAA